rnacentral:lncRNA from 1 species
UCGCCUGAAUGAUACGAUACAAAGUCUUUGUGUUCAGUAAAACCGUUUUAAUUCUCUUUCAGAUUGAGUGAACAUUACUUUCUGCUCUGAGAGACUUUAGUGAGUCGUUUUAUCGUGAUCCACAAUGACGGUAAGCACAAAAACACAGUUUCAAUGUUUUUAUAGCAGCGAGAGCCAAAGGACUGUGUUGUUUCAGCCUGUGGUGCUGCUCCUGUUUCUGGCUCCUCUGUUGAGCUGCUGCAGAGCGGAGGACAAACCUGUCGACUGCAGCGACAUCUUUAAACAAAACCCAAGCAGCGCCAGCGGAGUCUACUCCAUCUAUCCGUUCAGUGAGAGAUUCUCUGUCCAGGCCUAUUGUGACAGGGAAACAGACGGAGGAGGUUGGACAGUGAGUAUUUUCACUAAACUUUAGACCAGUUUGGACCAGGGAACUAGGUGGUGCUCACAUCCUAAAAUUACCAA